rnacentral:rRNA from 1 species
UACAGAGGACCCAAGCGUUGUUCGGAUUCAUUGGGCGUAAAGGGUGCGUAGGCGGCGCGGUAAGUCGGGUGUGAAAUCUCGGAGCUUAACUCCGAAACUGCAUUCGAUACUGCCGUGCUUGAGGACUGGAGAGGAGACUGGAAUUUACGGUGUAGCGGUGAAAUGCGUAGAUAUCGUAAGGAAGACCAGUGGCGAAGGCGGGUCUCUGGACAGUUCCUGACGCUGAGGCACGAAGGUCAGGGGAGCAAACGGG